AAUUCGAUUGAGUUUGAUCAUGGCUCAGGACGAACGCUGGCGGCGUGCUUAACACAUGCAAGUCAAGGGGGCCCAGCAAUGGGCAACCGGCGAACGGGUGCGUAACACGUGAGCAACCUACCGAACUGUGGGGGAUAGCCGGCCUAACGGCCGAGUAAUACCGCAUACGCUUUCAGUGAGGCAUUUCAUUGAAAGGAAACCUACGGGACAGAUCGAGGGGCUCGCGGCCUAUCAGCUAGUUGGCGAGGUAACGGCUCACCAAGGCAACGACGGGUAGCUGGUCUGAGAGGAUGGCCAGCCACAUUGGGACUGAGAUACGGCCCAGACUCCUACGGGAGGCAGCAGUGGGGAAUCUUGCGCAAUGGCCUAACGGCUGACGCAGCGACGCCGCGUGUGGGAUGAAGCUCUUCGGAGUGUAAACCACUGUUGCCCGGGACGAACAGCUCGAUUAGUCGAGCCUGACGGUACCGGGUGAGGAAGCACCGGCUAACUCCGUGCCAGCAGCCGCGGUAAUACGGGGGGUGCGAGCGUUGUCCGGAAUCACUGGGCGUAAAGGGCGCGUAGGUGGUUUGAUAAGGGUGUGGUGAAAGUCCGGGGCUCAACCCCGGAUCUGCCGUGCCGACUGUCAAACUCGAGGACUGUAGAGGCAGACGGAAUUCCGGGUGUAGCGGUGGAAUGCGUAGAGAUCCGGAGGAAGACCGGUGGCGAAGGCGGUCUGCUGGGCAGUUUCUGACACUGAGGC
rnacentral:rRNA from 1 species